ensembl:lncRNA
CUCGUUCAGCCUGACUCGACGUAUACCCCAUCAAAAUGACUGACACCAGAAGAGAUCUGCUGCUGAAUACGCUUGAAGCAAACAAGACGCGCAGCUUAGGUGAAGUCUGCCUGACCACGCUUGUAAAGGACCCGGACCCACAGGGGAGCGCUUGCAUCCUUUGCGAGCCAGAGACAUCAAGCUCACACUGCUGCUACCUCUGUGCUGCAGUUAGGACAAAGUCCCCAGGAGACGAGAGGACCUGAGUAGCCACUUUCGCAACUGAGCUGGAAGACAGGCAUCUCUGUGCUGCAUCUCAAUCUCAGAAGCGAACCAACAAACCUUACGCGUGAAGGUAAUGAAAGCUACUUAAAGAGUUUUAAUAACACACCGGUG